rnacentral:tRNA from 1 species
GCCCGGGUGGUGGAAUCGGUAUACACAGCAGACUUAAAAUCUGCCGCCAGAUGGCUUACGGGUUCGAGUCCCGUCCCGGGCACCA